rnacentral:lncRNA from 1 species
UAUUCCUUCACCUUUUGAGUAUAUCUCCCAGUAACCGGUGAUAUAUCUCCCGGAUCAUUGCCUUUGUCAAUGUAUCCCCAGCGGGUCAUCUUUCAUUUACCUUUGGUGGGUAAUGAUCAUUUCUCCCUUCGAUUGGUCAUCAUUUUAUACCUAGUAUUCGGUAUCCCGAUGCCCUUUUCUUUCGGUCGAUUUAUCCUUUAUUAACCCAGUAACUGGUUGUGGAUAAUCUUCCAUGCGAGUAUGUUAUUUAUGUUCUGACGGUAAUAGAUAAUAUAUCUCAU